AUGUCUUAUUUUUUUCCAAAUGAUAAUGUCAAAACUAAUGAGAUUCUCCAUCCACAGCAACCCCUUCCCAGAUCCUUGCUGAGUGAAGUGACUAAACUCCAUCUCUCCCACCCAUCUGGUUGGAAGCCGAAAGCCAGAAGCCCCAUGUCCCCAGCAGCAGCAGGCAGCAGAUCCCAGGCAAAUAUGUGGUUUCCCACACUGACCGCCAACAGUGAGUGUACGCGAGGAGCAUCACUGUGGAGCCAGGCUGUGGGUAAAAGAGGAAGAGUCAUUGUUCUCUCCGCACUGUCUCUUUCCUUCGGGGAAGGAGGACUGGAGAUGAUGAGCCUGCUCCCCUCACCCUCAGGGGCCCUCCCGUGCCCCUGCACUGCUUCCUUCUUGCAUCCGUCAGUGACUUCUCAGGGACGAAGUCCGUGGCAUGCCCAGCGCUGAGCCUGGCUGCAUGGGAUUCAGAGAGGGACAAAGUCACAGGGGACAG
rnacentral:lncRNA from 12 species